AGGGUGGAGACUAUGGCCCAAGAGAGCAAAGCUGGAUCAAGACAACGAUAACUUAUGUACUGGCGGUGAUGAUCCGAUGCAGACGAGCGUAAUUCCAACCGCGAGGACAAAGAUAUGGAACCAUCUGUUGUAAAUGGCAGUGGUACUGAAACGGGUCAAGUUAUUACAACCACUGUCGGAGGUCGAGAUUAAAGAUCAUCUAUCUAUAUGGUCACGAGGAGCUUGCUAUAUGUGAAGAUAUAUAUAGAUGUGGAAUGUCUCAAAGAUAUACUCUGGUUUCUAUGGAUGGUGCAUACUGGAGAUGACGUCUUUCCUCAUAUAAAGAAAGAUGACUAUCUGAAUUUAUGUUAUUUUUUUUGUUCCAUUCAGUUUUAACUACAAUCUGUGGUGGUGCAAUAGUUUUAAUGCCUAUUAAUUCUUUUGCAAAGACAGGUCAUAUGGCCGAUACCGGAUUGAUUCUGAGGCAACACCAACAAUAUUGAGUUGUCUAUCGUACAACCUCUGCUACUAGAGAUACUAAGCUUUCCUGUAAGUGUAAACUUUGAACACUGUUUCCAGGCUCAGUGUUUAUGUUUUCUGCUCCAGGUUUCUAAAAAAAUGGUGAAGGCUGUGAGCGGGUCAGGUAGACAGAGAUAGGGAACAAAACAUUUCAAGCUCGCAUGUUGUUGUUGAAGGAGGAAACAGAAGACUUGGUAGCAACCAGGGAGAUCUCAUUGCGGGACAAGUCCCAUUCAGAUAUGCAAGCAGAGCUUCUUUUUUGAAGAAGUCAAUGUGAAUAUCAAGACCAUUAUCUGAAGUUAAAUGCUUAAAGGUAGAAUCGUCUUCCUUGAGAUUGGAACUUGAGAAAGAAAAAUCAGUACUUGACUCAAUCAAACAAAGAGAAGGAAUGGAAUCUAUAGAGGAUGCUACUUUUGAAGAUGAGAAC